UACGUAGGGGCUAGCGUUGUCCGGAAUUAUUGGGCGUAAAGAGCGUGUAGGCGGCCAGGUAGGUCUGCUGUGAAACUCGAGGCUUAACCUCGAGCUGUCGGCGGAAACCAUCUGGCUAGAGUCCGGAAGAGGAGAAUGGAAUUCCCGGUGUAGCGGUGAAAUGCGUAGAUAUCUGGAGGAACACCGGUGGCGAAGGCGGCAUCCUGGACCAACACUGACACUGAUGAGCGAAAGCCAGGGAGCAAACGGG
rnacentral:rRNA from 1 species